ACGGGAGGCAGCAGUAGGGAAUCUUCCACAAUGGACGCAAGUCUGAUGGAGCAACGCCGCGUGAGUGAAGAAGGUUUUCGGAUCGUAAAGCUCUGUUGUUGGUGAAGAAGGAUAGAGGUAGUAACUGGCCUUUAUUUGAUGGUAAUCAACCAGAAAGUCACGGCUAACUACGUGCCAGCAGCCGCGGGAAUACGUAGGUGGCAAGCGUUGUCCGGAUUUAUUGGGCGUAAAGCGAGCGCAGGCGGAAUGAUAAUUCUGAUGUGAAAGCCCACGGCUCAACCGUGGAAAUGCAUCGGAAACUGUCAUUCUUGAGUGCAGAAGAGGAGAGUGGAACUCCAUGUGUAGCGGUGGAAUCCGUAGAUAUAUGGAAGAACACCAGUGGCGAAGGCGGCUCUCUGGUCUGCCACUGACGCUGAGGCUCGAAAGCAUGGGUAGCGAACAGGAUUAGAUACCCUGGUA
rnacentral:rRNA from 1 species